CUUCCUUGUUUGGUACAGGGAUAGUAUAUGCACCUGUCCUUUGUCCUUCGUCGUGCCUAUCUUUGGCAUUGCUUGGGCUUCUGAACAUGGUGGAGGGUCUCCUAUACGCUGGCUUUGUCCUUGGUUUCUUCACUAUGCGCUUGGUUGUCUUGUAGCCCAUUAAUGGGGAAGAAGUAUGGAAAAGAGAGCUUAAUAGAAUAAAAACAAUAGUGCUGAAACACAGUUACAAGAGAAGCAUGGUAGAUAACAUCUUAAGUGACAUUAUGAUUAACAGGCAGAAUACCCAGAGCAGUGCAACGACAUCAAGCUCCUCUGCUCAUAGUCCCCAGGAGGACGCCCGAGGACAAGAAUUUAAGGUGAUAGACCAUGCAUUAAUGGGCUACAAGACAACUAAGCACGUAGUGAAGAAGCUAAAGACAAAGCCAACAUAUAGGAGGCCCC
rnacentral:lncRNA from 1 species